rnacentral:lncRNA from 1 species
GUUCCUUGAGGACAAGGAAGAUUUUAAGGGGCGGGAUAUGAUGCAUAUAUUAGUUAUAACUGCUUAGACAGUUAUAUAUAGUUGGUUUGGGUUGUUAUAACUGCUUUUGACAGUUAUAAAUAGUUAGAAACUAACCAUUCCAUGUAUGCUUUUAUUGAAUAAAUGAAAUUCUCCCUUCCUAUCUCUACUCUCUAUUCUCUCUCUCUCUCU